CCAAGUUCCGAUUGACAUGAGUCUUUAAACUCUUAACCUUCAAAAACUUUCUUCUUUUGAGAGAUUUCCAAAGACUGGGAAACUCAGCUAUCGAGUACCACGUAGGCUUCUGGAAUUGAUGACAGCUGUGCAAAUUCCUCUUACUGAAGCAGGAGAGGGAGCCGGGAAAUCAAGCACCAGCCCUUUUCCUUUUCUUAUUGCUCACUCAGCUGCUGUCUAAAGCCCCAGCUACAACCUCAUUCUUUCAAGGCUGAGAACUGACAAAAAGACCAGCAGGACCCACGAUCACCUGAAGCAAACAAUGCCAUAGAUAUUGUUUGGGAACAACAGUCAGACACUCAGGGAAAACCUUUGCUUCGAUGAACAAAAGCCACCCGUGACAGUUCUUUGUCCUAGACUUCCAGCUACUCUGACCCUCAGGGUCUUUGGACUAUCACAAUAGUCUGUCAAACAGACAAGUAAGUUAUAUCUGUAUUCAAAAUGUUUUU